GCUACAGGCAUGUUAGAAGUAUUAGCAACAAGUGCUGUUCUUUUCAUAAUGGAUUCUGUUACACCAUCAAUCUCAACUGAUAACUCUGGGAAAUCUCCUAAUACCUAAAAAUUGAAGUACAAGUUAUAAAUAUUUUCCAAAGUUAAAAUUUAUUAAAACUUUAAUCUUCAAACAUAAUUAAUUUAAUUACACUACUAAAAAAGUUACCUCAGCCAUUUCAUUACCACGUUCACCACAACCAACAUAAAUGAUGACAUCAGAGUUAGAAUAUUUAGACAGAGCUUGAGAUAUCACAGUCUUACCACAACCAAAAGCUCCAGGAAUUGCAGUUGUACCACCUUGAACACAACUGAAAAUCAAAGAAAAUUUUACUAAACAUUAGUUCAUUUAAAUUAAUUAAUUUAUUAAAGAAAAAAGUUAAAUAGUUUCUUACGGGAAUAAAGAAUCAAGUACUCGCUGCCCAGUUAAAAGAGGAUAAUUUGCUGGUAGUUUUUCAGUUACAGGUCGGGGCUGACGUACUGGCCAAA